rnacentral:rRNA from 1 species
UACGUAGGUUUCCCUCGUUCCUCGUCCUUCCUGGGCGUAAAGCGUGCGCAGGCGGUGAUGUAAGACAGUUGUGAAAUCCCCGGGCUCAACCUGGGAACUGCAUCUGUGACUGCAUCGCUGGAGUGCGGCAGAGGGGGAUGGAAUUCCGCGUGUAGCAGUGAAAUGCGUAGAUAUGCGGAGGAACACCGAUGGCGAAGGCAAUCCCCUGGGCCUGCACUGACGCUCAUGCACGAAAGCGUGGGGAGCAAACAGG